UCCUGGUCCUCGUUGCACUUUUAUAACUUUCCCUUUCUGGUAUUCCCUCCCUCGCAGUAGAUUGGUGAAAUACUUCAAGAGGACAAUGAUGCGCGUCCUUUGAAAAUCCGCCAUGUUAGGUUUCGGCGAAAAAAAAAAAAUCAAAAAGCCUGCAGUGCGAACGAUGUCCAGCAACACAAACAUUCGUACGAAAAUAGCCCAAGAGCAACGGAAAUGAAAAUUGUGUCGUGAAGACUGUGAGUACGUUGUUGACGUGCGUUAGCAGUUUGCUUCUGCCGUUGAAAUUAUUUGUUUUCGUUGUGCCGAAACGAUCGAAUCCAACAUGGCGGCCUCCAGAGAUUUACGGCGCCGAAGAAAACAUUCCGAAGUGUCCAUGUUCCUGACAUGGAAGUGGAGGAGGUGCCAUCACAGGUACUUUUGCAGAGCUGACACGGACACAGCAGAAAUGUUACAAGGUCCUCGAGCCGCGACACCGAGCGGAGACCACUGGAAUAAAGCGUACUCGACAUGAGGAAGGAAUGAUUGCACUGGGCCUGUGUUACUCAAGACUGCUUACUUGACGGAUCACAGCUAUUAAUUUUGAAGACCAGAGCGGCCAACAAGCGGAAGCUGUGAGCGCCACUACCACAAGCUUAUGGCGACAUCUCUUCGCCAUUUGUCACCAUCCCAAACCAUCCACAAGGUUGCAAGGCUUUUCUUCAAAGGGAACAUGAAGAAAGCAAGGACACUUUUCUUGUUGCCAGGAGCAAGAACCCUAAGCCUGAGGACACAGUUUCUCAAGCAAGCAGCUGUGUUCGAUGGGUGAUUGCUCACCGCCACAUCUCGACUGCUACUUCUACCUCUGCCGUCAGACAGAUAUUCAACGCAGAAAAAGUAGGCGCAAGUGAACAGUCUACUGAGAGCUUCCACGAAGUCAGGUGACAGCACGAGAACAACUGGCUUUUGCAGACAUGUGACACUGCCCUUCAACUU